CAGUAUUGAUACCAAAGUGCAGCCUUUGUCUGUGCAGUUGCUGUAUGACUGCUGGACUUUGUUUUUCCUGUAGCAGAGCGAUAGCAGGGAAGGCCAGCAAGGAGCAGCAGCAGCUGCAAGGGGUGCAAAGUUCUGGAGUGUGACAGAGCCUUGGCAGCAGCGGCUGGUGCUUGUUUUCCCUCACUUUUGGUGGAAAAGUGUGUCAAUGGAUGUCAAGGUCUAUGGUCUCCCGAGAGCCUUCCAUUUAAGCAACGAAUGGAGUGCAGUGCAACAGAAACAGGACUGUAACGAGUGGAUCUAUAAACUAAUUGCAAAACAUAUCAUGUUGCUCCUUGGAUGAAGAGUGGAUGAACAGCAACGAGCAUCAAGGUGAGGCCCUUCUUCUUAGAAAGGUAAUAUUUAGCUUGCCUGGGACAGCUGUCACUGUGUUAGCUCAAGAAUCAUCACAGUGAAAACCUUCAGAGGAUGUUAAACAUGUCCAAAAAGUUGUUCCAGUUCCCCACGAGUAUUACAUCUUUUGCCUUUGGGCAUUUGUAGGUCAGCAGAAAUAACAGCUGCACACUGCUUUCUGAUUUCCAUAAAGAAACAAGGCUUCUUUUUCACCUAAGUCUUUCAAAUAAUCAGAAUAUUCUCUAGUGAUUUACUAAUAGAAUUCUACAACAACUUGUUUCCUAAAUUCCAUUAUGUGCAGUUUCUUAAAGACUACCAGAAUGAGUAAAAGAAACAGUCAGAUUUCUAGAAGUUUCCUAAAUUAUGAAGUCUGCUUUUCUGUAGGAAAAUGAUAUUUCUGGUGAGUUAAAUGUUGUGUUUCCGGUGUUUGUGAUCAAGGAGACACUGGGGCUUGUUUGUAUCAUCCAGCCUUUCUCAAAGCUUCAGCCAUCAGGAAGUCUGAAGAUGAGUCAGGUACAAAAGGGUACAGUCUGUGCAAGUUUAAACUCAUUGAGAUGUGAAAGAUAAAGCAAUCAAAUUCCAUCUUCUAGAUGGAGAGUUUUCUCCACUGGGCACAGAUGCAAAAAAUCCCCCCCAAAUCUGUAAACUACACAAAGAUGUAUUUGUGUGCGUUUAAUAUGGGACACAUAUAGCUUGGAAAAUAUAUUGCUGAUGAAAAAUACAACUAUUCUGAAGAGCACAAAAAAACCCCAAACCCCAAAAACAAAAAGCCCAAACAAAAAGAAACAGCAGCAACAAAAAAAAGAAGUAACUGAACAGAGCUAUCAAUAAUAGCAAAAGGGUAAUUAGCUAUGAAAUUGAGAAUAAAAAU
rnacentral:lncRNA from 1 species